AUGAAUUUGCAGGGGAUGAACAAUCAAUAUAUCCGUCGGGAAGUCUUUUGCUGUGAAACUUGUCAUGAGCUCAAAAGUUUCUGGGAAAAAGAAAUUAGCAAACAGACUUGUUACAGGGAACUGGAGGAAGAUCGUCAGGGAAGGAGCGCCCUGAGAAAGCGGAACAGCAGAUUACUGCCGAUGGUGCUUAUCAGAUGGUUCCUAUUACAUGCGAAUCAUGAGGUCUCCUGAGAGAAGAGUAUUGGGAGAGUCAAUCUGCCAAGAACCCUGAAUAUCCCUGCACAUUCUGUCUGGCUGUAACAAGAAUAUAAGGUCUUGACUAUUCUUUAUGAAAGCAUGUCUCAUGGCUAUAGGUACAGCAAGCGACCUGGAGAGGUGAAAUACUAUUAUCCCACAGAAAAAAAGAUUUACUACUGUUCACUGUAAAAAAAAAAAAAAAAAAAAAAAAAGUGAAUCUUCACAGCUCUCCUAGAUCUCUACUAUAUUGCAACCCAUUGCAUGUGCAGACAUCCAUUAUAGAACAUUUUCUUCACUCCUGUGGUAGUUGAGGGACUUGGGGACAGGAAACUGGAGACAUGAAACUCUUGCUACUGCUUUUGCCACAAAUAAUGAAGUCUGUUGUCUCUCACCUCAGUGUCUGGUGCCAUUCAUGGAAUAGUAAUUAUCUGUUAGUUUGCAAGUUCAACAAAAUCCUAGAUCUUGUAUAAUUCUUGAUAGAACACUGUCCCCAAUAUAAAAAGCUGGCAGUGGAGUCUCUUGCUGGUUUGCUUUCAGCAAGCAUAUGGUAACAUAUUACAGAGUAUAGGUGCCCCUUUAUGUGGAUUUACUGAUUACAUCAUCUAGCUUUAACCAAAUAACCCUCACAAAAUGGGCAAAUAGCUUAAAAAGAUUCCUUCAAGGAACCUUCAGAUUAAAGGUCCUAUUAAUACAAGCACAGGGAGCAACAUAGAAAGCAUUUAGAUGGCAGUUUCUAGUUACUUGUUUAAACUCUCUGAUAAAGAGAUUUUUGCUGAUAAAAACCAAGGACAAAUUAAUCAGAUCUGACAAAAUUCAGCCACCCAAAGUAGGUAUUGUCAGAAAUACAUACAGAUUUAUGAAAUAAAUACAGAUUUAUGAAAAAUCAAUCUUAUCCUAAAUGUCUAUUGUGCACUGAGAUGUUAUCUAGCCAAAAUGAUUAGUGACAUCUUAAACAAUGCUUUUCAUUUUUAUCUAUUAUUUUAGUACUUAUUUUUAUAUAUGCUUCACAAACCUCACAAUAUAUUAUUGUAUUAUGUAUAUUGUAGCAUAGUUAUCUAUCAUCUAUCAUCUAUCUAUGUGUCUUUUGGUUCUGAUAAGGGGAGCAAUCAUGUGCCUUUACUAUGAGAAUAAAGGCUUCUCUGCACAUCAAUGCUGGAAGCAUUCUAUCAUUAUUCCUCAAGGCAGUAAUAGAGACUAAGUUCUGAAAUUCACAGAGGCACUAUCGCAGGCAGUGGCACUGAACCCUUUUUCACUGUUACACACCUGGGGUCUCUGAUUCACACCAUCAGUAAUAGUCAUUUAUUGACAGUGAGCCAGGGACUGAGGUAAUAAUGAAUAAUGAGUAAUCACCUUUACUAAAUAACCAGACCAGUAUCCUUUUUUUACAUGUAUUAAUUUUCCCAUAAUACAUGUGUGGAAACUGCCAGAGUUAUUGGGCAAGUGACUUGUACUGAGUCACCCAACUGGGGAGUGGCAGGGUCACAUGACCUGUGAAGCUCCAAAACCUCUUCUUCAGUCACUCUCUUGAUAUGUGGACUGUUAGGAGUGUAGAAAGGCCUUAGUAAUCCUGCAAACAUGCCCACCAGCUCCUGUCAGUGAGUAUAAGUGUUUUCCCAGCAGACUUUUUUAAUGCUGAGUACAGUUAAGCCUUUUUUGUUUGUACAAAGAGCUAUUUCCUGCCCCAGCCCCAGAUGAGCUGUGGCUGUCGUCCACUAAAGUUGUCAGGACCAUUCUUCCUGCAGGAGCCACCCAGGAACUUUCCAGCAACUGACUGGGCUGAGCAGAUUCCUGUUGGUAAUUCUCAGUUGUCUGCAUAGGGGUGCACUGUCAUUACACAUGUAAUUUAGUUUCCUAUGUAAAUGCUAUGCCUUCUGUUUUUGUAGGAACACGUAAGCCCCAAAGCUGAAAGAUGCUCAAUUUAUUUUUCAAAAGAAAAUGAUCAGUUGUAUUCUACAAAUAUAUUAAUUUUAAAAAGGGAAAUAGAGAUUAAAUUCCAAAAGGGAAGAUACCAAGGAGCAUUUUCAGACACCAAGAACAUUCCUUUAUAAACCGAUUGUUAAUGAUACAAGAAAAGCUCCCACAUGCAAAUGAGAACCAUGCAAUGCUUCAGGGAGAUCCCUGUGCUCAUUAUUCAGAUUCAUUAUUCAGGCACUAACAUCAUGCACUUUUUCUUAGGUAUGCUCGAUGGUAGAAAAUUAUGCACAGGAGGCAACUACUGUUUUCCUGUGGGGGAAUUUGAAAGUCCCUUCUUGAAAAGGAACAAUAAACACUUUUAGAGGAUUCAGAAAACCUAAAAUCUGUGACUCCAUUUUUUUAAAGUGCAGACUAAACUUUUCUCAAAUGUGUUUUCUUCAAAAUUAUGACUUGUCAAGACCAAUUCUUGUGAGGAGUGCACUAGUUGUUAUAUUUGUUGACUUUACACUGUUCUGACAUUGAGAAUUAUCUUCCCUCUUUGCAUUUUAUUGUUUUAAAGUAUUUUUAGUAGGUAAUCUUAAGCUUUGCUUCCCUGAAAUUUCCUUCUGCUCUUUCUCACCCUCCCCUUUCUUACACUCAGAGCUGCAUAAAUUUUUCUACCAUUAAAGUAUGAAUGAAUUUUUAAUUUGCUAGUAAGUUUAUUUUUAGAUUGUUAUAUACCUCUCAUUUCAAUCUCUGGGCAAAUUUGAGACAGAUGUUGCAAGUUCUUUGUAAUUUAUAUCUGUAAUAUGAAGAAUUAAGGCAAAAUUUAUCCAGGUUUCAUAUACCUUAUAUAAUCAUAAAUAUACUAUAGUCCAUACAAAGAAGAUAUUUUAUUAUUUCUCUCCUAUUUUUCUUUCCUUCUUCUUCUUCUUCUUCUUCUUCUUCUUCUUCUUCUUCUUCUUCUUCUUCUUCUUCUUCAUGGCCAGAGGAAGAGGGAGAGAGGAAGAAUCUUAAACAGACUCCAUCCCCAGUACAGAGCCUGAUGCAGGGCUUGAUCUCACAAUCUUGACAUUGUGAUCUGAGCCAAAAUCAAGAGUUGGACACUUAACUGAGCCACCCAGGCAACCCUCUUUGUCUUCUUCUUGUUGUUGUUUUCUAUUUUGAUUUUAAUAUUUACUUUGAGAGCGGGCGGUGGGGGGAGAUCAAAGGGAAAGGAUCUCAAGCAGAUUCCCCUUUGAGAAGGGAGAUGCAGGGCUCCAUCUCAGGCCCCUGAGAUCCUGAGCUGAAAUCAAGAGUUGUACAUUUAACCAACUGAGCCACCCAGGCACCCCACCUCUGUUUUUUUCCUUAAUUAACCAGGAAAACCAAUUUUUGUCAGUAGAGGAGAAAAUACAGAAGUUAAUUAGCUAUUUAAAUAUUUUUAGUGCUUUUAAAAUACUUAUGUAUAAUGAUAUGUAUAUAAUGGAAGGGUAGGAAAUAAUUCUUUAUUUUGAAAGGUUAGAUUGUGAUUGUGGGACAUGAUGUUGAUAGUCAACUGUGUUUGUACUUUUUGUAAUCAAACUAAAAAGGUUUUGUUUUCAACAAUAUUUAGCAAACAUGUUUUAUGUUUAUUAUUCAGAAAGAAUAUAGGAGCUCAAAUUGAAACAGGGGACUUGAAUAUUCCAAACUCAAAUUUGAAGAAUAUGCUAAGGAUAUCUUCUGCAUUCUGUAUACAAAGGAAGUAGUGGUAAUUAUUUAGGAAAUAAUUUAAAAAAUAUAUAGUUAUCAAGGGCCAAUAAUUGAAUUCUAUUGAAAUAUAAGAAUAGAUAAUAAAAUAUAAAAUCAAAACAUUUUUGUUGCCCAUAUAUUCAUUUUAUUCAUAAUUUUCUUGGAAAGUUGAUAAGCAAAAGACAUAUCAAAAUUUAUACUUCAUUCAGGAGAACCCCUGGGCCAGAUAGUCAUACUCAGAAAAAAUAAGUGGAGAUAUCAUUGAGAGAACACAGUAAAUAAUGAAGGAAAAGAAGAUUGGAAUAGACAGGCAUUUGUCAGUGGAAAAUGUUAAUAGUAUAAUCCUUGAAGGUGAAUCUUUGAAAGCAAUAUUUUUCUGUAACUACCAAAAAAAAAGUUGGUCCUGAACCACAACCAGAAAUGACAAAUGAAGAAUAAAUAGGAUAAAGAAACCCAGUAUUAACCAGUAUACAUUGCAAGAGAAUAUCAAAGACCCCUGCAGAAUCUGGGAUCUGAUGACCCUUAAUUCCCCUAGUCUAGAACUGCAGCUCUCCCUCCAGCCAUCAACACCAGAGCUCCAGAUGUCUAGUCCCUGGCUCUUUGGUCAGGCUGCCUGACUGGCCUGAUGACCCAUGAUAGAGAGAACAUUAACCCUGACCUGGGGCACAGUGCCCAGCUGAUCACAGACUGGAGAGCAUGCAUUAGACUUCCUCCUCGUACCUCUGUAGGGUGAACUAGGAAAAAAUAUAAUAAAA
rnacentral:lncRNA from 1 species